rnacentral:rRNA from 1 species
UACGUAGGGGGCAAGCGUUGUCCGGAUUUACUGGGCGUAAAGCGCACGUAGGCGGAUCUUUAAGUCAGAGGUGAAAUCCCAAGGCUCAACCUUGGAACUGCCUUUGAUACUGGGGAUCUUGAGUCCGGGAGAGGUGAGUGGAACUGCGAGUGUAGAGGUGAAAUUCGUAGAUAUUCGCAAGAACACCAGUGGCGAAGGCGGCUCACUGGCCCGGUACUGACGCUGAGGUGCGAAAGCGUGGGGAGCAAACAGG